rnacentral:rRNA from 1 species
UGAGGGUUGAUAGGUUAAGAGCUAAUUAACUGGACGUUACCCACAGAAGAAGCACCGGCUAACUCCGUGCCAGCAGCCGCGGUAAUACGGAGGGUGCGAGCGUUAAUCGGAAUUACUGGGCGUAAAGGGUGCGUAGGUGGUUGAUUAAGUUAUCUGUGAAAUUCCUGGGCUUAACCUGGGACGGUCAGAUAAUACUGGUUGACUCGAGUAUGGGAGAGGGUAGUGGAAUUUCCGGUGUAGCGGUGAAAUGCGUAGAGAUCGGAAGGAACACCAGUGGCGAAGGCGGCUACCUGGCCUAAUACUGACACUGAGGCACGAAAGCGUGGGGAGCAAACAGGAUUAGAUACCCUGGUAGUCCACGCUGUAAACGAUGUCAACUAGCUGUUGGUUAUAUGAAAAUAAUUAGUGGCGCAGCAAACGCGAUAAGUUGACC